rnacentral:tRNA from 1 species
GGAGCGUGGCGCAGCCUGGUAGCGCACUUGACUGGGGGUCAAGGGGUCGUGGGUUCGAAUC